GGAAAUGUAGCUCAGCUGGAAGAGCAUAUGUUUUGCACACAUGGGGUCGCCGGUUCAAGUCCGGUCAUUUCCA
rnacentral:tRNA from 1 species